rnacentral:rRNA from 1 species
UGGGGAAUCUUGGUCAAUGGGCGAAAGCCUGAACCAGCGACGCCGCGUGAGUGAUGAAGGCCCUAGGGUUGUAAAGCUCUGUGGGGAGGGACGAAAAAGCUACGUUCUAAUAGGGCGUGGUCUUGACGGUACCUCCUUAGCAAGCACCGGCUAACUCUGUGCCAGCAGCCGCGGUAAGACAGAGGGUGCAAACGUUGCUCGGAAUUACUGGGCGUAAAGCGCGUGUAGGCGGGUCGCCAAGUCAGAUGUGAAAGCCCUGGGCUCAACCCAGGAACUGCAUUUGAAACUGGCGGCCUUGAGUGGUGGAGAGGGAAGCGGAAUUCCUGGUGUAGAGGUGAAAUUCGUAGAUAUCAGGAGGAACACCGGUGGCGAAGGCGGCUUCCUGGACACUUACUGACGCUGAGACGCGAAAGCGUGGGGAGCAAACAGG